GAACAAAAUAUAAAAAGCACUGAAUGCACUGGAGAUCAACAUUUUGAAGAAGGAAAUGACACUGAAUGAGAUUCCUAGUUUUUAUAGCUUUUAGCCUAAGGAAAGGUCCCAUCCAAGGGCCAGCCAAAACUUGAAGAGAAAUCUACUCUUUCGUUGGUUUGAAAAAUCAAAAGAUAAAAUUCUAGCAACUAUUGCAAGUGAAAAGUAAAUGGGAAAUCUCAGGAAUGAGACAGUUCAACAAAGGAAGCCCCAUAUUCUGACUAUAAACUCUUUCAUAUUUUUGUCUGAUACCUGACCUUCACAUGUGCAAGACAUACUCUAGAUGGUACAAUUAAUGAUAAAUGAAUUACACUGAGAUUUCUGUUCUCUAUGCAUGGGAGACAGAGUUUGGGAUCUGAGUCCAGCCAAGAUUGUUUUUUUACUAAAACAAAAAUUAAUACUUUUCAGAAAAAUAAAACAUAAUCCAGACUUUAUAAAAUAUGUCACCCACAAUGUCCAGAACACAACCUAAAGUUACUAGGUAUGUGAAGAAAAAUGAAAAAUAAAACCUAGAGUCAAAAGCAAAAUAAAAAAUUACUGGAGACAACCCCUAAUCUACCCCAGGAUGACCUGGAUUUGGGAUUUAUCAAGCAAAUAUUUUAUAAUAUGUUUAAGGAUGUAAAGAAAAAUACACCUGAAUGGAUACAUAGAAAAUCUCAAGUCAAAACUAUAACAAGUGG
rnacentral:lncRNA from 1 species